rnacentral:tRNA from 1 species
GAGGCUUUAGCUUAAUUAAAGUGUCUGAGUUGCAUUCAGGGGAUGCGCAAUAGAGUUGCGCAGGCCUU